GCCCGGAAGUCCCGCCUCCUUCUGGACGCUUGCUAUGUGACGCCACUUGGAAGGGACUCAGUAAGGGUGGCGGAAGUGGACUAAGACAUCAUGUUGCCUCAAGUUUAAUUAGAAAUCGCGUGCCUUGUGAAGAAUGGACACUCAGGAGAUGCUUAUUGAUGAACCUGUUGUUGAGGAUAACUCGCUAACUUUUCUGAGCUUUGUUGGAAAAACUCAGGUCACUGUAUCUCUAUGCAUUACAGAAAAUGGCUAGUCAAAAACUUGUCAAGGCCAGUUGCAGGCAUGAUACCAGCAGUCUGGGAGGUAGAGACAAGAGGACACAUCUCUGCUGCUCCCCGCUUUCCCCAUGGUUAUGUGCCAACUUUGGUUUCACCAGGCCUACAGUGCUUCCCAGGUUUGGAGUGUGGGGAAGGAGAAGAUUUAAUGGAAGCAGCUUAAGGGAAAUGCUCAAACUAAACUGAUACUUUCUUCAUGAUCUAGCAUUGAAACUUUCCGGACUUGACAGAUAUUUAAAAUUAACUCUUUUUCUCAUCAGCAUUUUCAUGGGUUCUUCCGAGAUCCACAUUACCCAACUGUGGUUCCCAUGACAAGAAUUAAUGCCUCUCUGUUUCUUCUGGACCUUUAUUUACCUGACUUCUUUCUCUAGGGACUGUUCACACUUAUGGGCCAUCCUUUUGAACAUAACCUAACAAGACUCAUGCUGGCUUUAAGUGAGUGGUCCACAUUUGGUUCAUGGGAAAACCACAUAGUUUGUCCCCAACAAACUUUGGAAGUAAUAUUUAUUUUACUGCUGGAAUUAAGGAAAACCAAAAACCCUAUUACAAAAUGGCUCCUCUAAACAUUCACAUUACCCCUUUUUGUCUCUGCCCCCUGAGGAACUAGCCAACUCUAGCUCUUUGGAUUUUCUAAAUGAGAGGUCAACAUUUCGAUGUCUCCAAGACCUUAAGUUCUUCUAGUGGUCUCUUUAAGCUUCCUCUCUUGAAUUAUGGUGAAAAGGGACUGCCUGCUACCCCCUCCUCUUGAGGAGAGGGGUGGUAUCGCAGCCUAACAAUAAUUUCCAAAAAUUUUCUCCUCCAGCCUCUAAUUCUCAACCAGUUUAGACUUUCUAAGUGGGUAAUUUAAAGCCUUACAGCCAGUUACGCUCUACUUCUUCUACAAGUCCUGCAACCAGGUGGUCUCAAUCCUCACUUGCGAAUAUUGCAUUUACUCACCUUGUGCCCUAGCCAAAACUUCCACAACAAAUUCUGUGGUGCAUUUAAGUGAAAGAUGUUAUUUGAUAGAUAGAUAGAUAUAGAUAUAGAUAUAGAUAUAGAUGUAUAUUAGAACCAUGGCAAAUGGUUAACUUUUUUAAAAAGGUAAAUUUUUUAUAUUGAGAUAAUUAUAGAUUCUCAUACACUUGUAAGAAAUAACACAGAAAGAUCCCAUGUAGCCUUUAUCCAGUUUCCCCAGUGAUAAUAUCUGGCAAAACUGUAGUCCAAUAUCACAACCAAGAUACUGGCAUUGAUAGAUCACUUCCAUCACCACAAACAUCCCUCAUGUUGCCCUUUUAUAGCCACACUCAUUUCCCUCCUGCUGCCACCCUCUCCUUUACCCAUAACAACCACUUAUCUGUUCUCUAUUUUUAUAAUUUUGUCAUUUCAAGAAUCCUGUAGAAAUGGAAUAAUACAGUAUGUAUUUUAGGGGUUAUCUUUUUUACACUCAGCAUGAUUCUCUGGAGAUUAAUCCAGGUUGUUGCAUGUAUCAAUAGUUCAUUCCUUUUUUACUGCUGAACAGUAUUCCAUUGUAUGUAUAUAUGAUUGUUUAACUAUUUGCUCAAUGAAGGACAUAUAUUAAUAGUUUCCAGUUUUUGCUGUUAUGAAUAAAGCUACUAUAAACAUUCAUGUA